rnacentral:rRNA from 1 species
AACGAACGCUGGCGGCAGGCUUAACACAUGCAAGUCGAACGCGUGUAGCAAUACACGAGUGGCGCACGGGUGAGUAACGCGUGGAUAUCUGCCUUUGGUUCGGAAUAACCCCGGGAAACUGGGGCUAAUACCGAAUGGUUCCUUCGGGAUAAAGAUUUAUCGCCAAAAGAUGAGUCCGCGUACGAUUAGCUAGUUGGUGAGGUAAUGGCUCACCAAGGCGACGAUCGUUAGCUGGUCUGAGAGGACGAUCAGCCACACUGGGACUGAGACACGGCCCAGACUCCUACGGGAGGCAGCAGUGGGGAAUAUUGGACAAUGGGGGCAACCCUGAUCCAGCCAUGCCGCGUGAGUGAUGAAGGCCUUCGGGUUGUAAAGCUCUUUUGGCGGGGACGAUGAUGACGGUACCCGCAGAAUAAGCCCCGGCUAACUUCGUG